CUCUUCCCGAUCUGGCGGUUCCCAGCAGUGCUGUUUUCUGUAAGUGCUCCACCAUUAUUGCAGCCCCUAUUUGUUCCACGUACUUCUCGAGAUUUUUGCUCACUGUUCCCAGGCUCCGAUAAUUAUUGGUAGUACUGCUACCUUUCUCCUCCACCACAACUGCUUAACUUCCCAAGCUAACCUGUCAUAUC